rnacentral:rRNA from 1 species
UCUGAUGCAGCGACGCCGCGUGAGGGAGACGGUUUUCGGAUUGUAAACCUCUGUCCCCGGUGACGAUAAUGACGGUACGCCGAAGAGGAAGCUCCGGCUAACUACGUGCCAGCAGCCGCGGUAAUA